ACUUCACUAUUCUCUAAAGCUGUUUGGGUUUCGAUUAAUCCAUUGCUUAGUACAGGAUACCAAUCCCCUUUAAAGUUAGAUGAAGUGCCUUUGCUUCCACCUGAUUUCCAAGCUGAAAGACGUAAUAAUUAGUUUCCUUGCGAUAGUGCAGUUGUCUGAUAUAUAUGUCGGAACAACUCUAAUCCGAAGUUUCAUUGCUACUGCUUCUGCGGAUAGAACAAAACUUUGAGCCCAAUUCAAAUGAAUCCGCAGCGCUGCACCACCCACCCAGGUUAAAUUCCCACUGAUGUGUCGACUAAUUCUACAUCCAACCUUUUCGGCAAACAGGAAGCGUCUUCAUUUCUCUGCAAUAUUUACAAGAGCCAGUCAACAGUGUUCUGCAGAAGAUUUAGUACCUUGGAAGUUACCAACCACCUUAAGAACCCAGGAUACAUGGAAGUUUUCUGUAUGACCUCUUCUAUGCUAAGAUACAAUUCCAAGACAUGUACUUAUUCUAGCUUUUUUCGAAUGCCUAUGCUGUCUGAAGUUUCUACAAGAGGGUAACUCUUUUCCCACCAGUGACAUGUCUGACUAAUUGUACUCCCAACCUUUACUGCAAACAGGAAGUGAUCUUCAUUCCUCUGCAAUUUUUACUAGAGCCAUUCAACGGUGUUUUGCCGAAGAUUUAGUACCUUGAAGGUUACCAACCACCUGAAGAACCCAGGAUACAUGAGAAGUCUUCUGUGUGACAUCUUCUAUGCGAGGAAAUCACAAGUUAUUGCAGUUGGUGGUAGCACCUCCUGGUUUGGGAAACUCGAGGUGAUUGCACCAUGAGUUCGUUUUGAAUGUGUCAACGAAAAAUGAACUUUGGCUAUAUGUACUCUUCUGGCUGGGUGUCAAUCGUCAUGUUCAGAUGAACCUGUUGACAACCUCUUUUUAAUUUAAAUUGGAGCCAAAGUAGUAACAGUGUUUUUGGAACAAAAAAAGUACGAAAAGAUGAAAAAUAGUAUCAUUUAUUCAUAUGAAGUUUCAAAUAUAUCAUAAAGAAGCAUGUGUAGAGAACUUACUUAGUCCAAUUAACGAUAGUUGCUUUCGUGCCAUUUUGUUUCGCACAAGGUAAUUCGACUAACAAGAACAAGCCAAAGCUUCAUGUUGUGCUGCCUCCCCCUGCCUCAACAUCAAAAG